AGUCUGUAGCAGUAUAUGGUGUAAUAUUUCUAUGUAGCUCAGUCUGUAGCUGUAUAUGGUGUAAUAUUUCUAUCUAGCUCAGUCUGUAGCUGUAUAUGGUGUAAUAUUUCUAUGUAGCUCAGUCUGUAGCAGUAUAUGGUGUAAUAUUUCUAUGUAGCUCAGUCUGUAGCAGUAUAUGGUGUAAUAUUUCUAUUUAGCUCAGUCUGUAGCUGUAUAUGG